rnacentral:lncRNA from 1 species
GUAAGUGAAUUAUCCAUUGUAACUCAACUGCUGUCUGUGGUUUAUAUUAAAUACUAGGAUAUGUUUACCCAGCUGAUUUUUAUAACUACAUAAUUUUGAAAUAUCCACAGAAAUACAUCUAGCAACCAAAACAUAGACCUGAAUACCUUUUGUUAUAACCAAGCCUGAGACUGUCAUUCCAGAUGUGAUUACAGUUCCUAGUCAGUUGACUUUAAGGACAGGGGAUCACCUGGUGGGUCUGACUUCGUUAGUUUGAAGGUCUUGAAGCAGACUGGGACUUCCCAGAGGAGGAGAAGAAAUGCUGCUGGAGGACGACCCUUUGGCUAAUGCCCAUGGUAUUCCCAGUGGAUCAGGUUCUUCCCUCCUGCCAUCUUGUUCUACAUGAUUCCAACUUGCUUCACCAGCCCCAGCACUGUGUGAGUCAAUUUCUUAUAAUAAAUCUUGGCCUGUACCUCUGUGGCUGAAGUGUGACCAAGAUGCCAUUCAUUUUGAUCCAGUUCCACAAAGAUGCAUGAAGCAUUGACUGUGUGCCAGAGACUGAGGCUGGAGAGCCGAGUGAGUCAUGGUCUUUGCCCUCAAUGCACAAGGGACCAGCAGGAGAGACAAAAUGAGACACGAGGCUGCACAGUGUGCUGAGAGCAGCAUCUGAAGCAACUCACGGCCCUAGGGUUCCUGAGAUCACGGUGUGGCAGCGGCCCCGCCACCCCAGGACAGCUCCUCCCUUGUGCAACCCCAACACAGCAGCAGCCACACCUCCCGUUGUCAACCAGCGUCUUCCAUCACUCAGAGUCUCAAAUGCUGAUAAUCGCAGUUUUCCAAGGAAUUAUUAGCUAACGUUUUGGACACAUUAAUUUCUCUGAAACUUUCUUCAGGAGGUUUCGUAUACACGGCAAUUUUAAUCCAUUAGAGAAAUAAAUGAUGGCAUAACAAAAUAUUCAGUAUGGGAUCUCAGUAAUUAUAAAGUCUAUUUAAAGUGUUCCACGAGCUUUUAUUUAAGUCAUUUUGGGCUUUUUUUCCCCCAUUCUUUGGGAAACACAUGUGCACUCUCUGAAUAUACAGGAUAAUGGUAUUUAUUUACCACUCCACUCCCACUUUUCAUUUUUUGUAUAAAGCUUACACACCUAGAACUUUAAAUUUUUUUCAUCUAAUUAUACAACAAAUAUAUUUAUUUAAAAAUUUGAUAACUUAUACAUUUUGCAAUGCCCCAUAAUCAGAACACACAGUGAUAACCAGUGUUAGCAUGUUAAUACAUGCACUUGUAUAUGGAUUUCUCAAUUCCUGCAAAUAUUGUUUAAAUGAAUCAUGUGGUGGAUUUUUAACUUAUUUGUUUUGAAAAUACAGAUACUUAC